rnacentral:lncRNA from 1 species
UCUCUUACAUGGGGUUCUCUCUCUCUUCCUAUGGGCUCUACUGUGUCUUCUUAUGGGGGGGAGUUCGGGGUUCCCAUGGUUCUUAUGGGGGUCUCUUACAUAGGGGGGUCUCUAUGUUCCUAUGGGGGUUCUAUGUGUUCUUAUGGGGGUCUAUGCUAUGCUAUGGGGGGUCUCUUAUAAGGGGGGUCUACACUGUUUCUAUGGGGCUCUAUGUGUUCUAUGGGGGGUCUCUUAUGGGGGUCUCUAUAUUGUUUCUGUGUGCGGGCUUCUUCUUAUAUGGGCGGGUCCUCUGUAUUCUAUGGGGGGGGUCUCUCAUAUUCCUAUGGGGGUCUUAUGUUCUAAAUGGGGGGGGUCUCUCUAUAAGGGGGGCGGUCUAUGUGUUCUAUGGGGGGUCUCUAUUGUCCUAUGGGGUCUAUGUGUUCCUAUGGGGGGUCUCUUUAUAAUGGGGGGGGUCUCUAUGUUCCUAUGGGGGUCUGUGUAUUCUAUGGGGGGGGUCCUAUGUGUUCUAUGGGGGGGUCUCUGAUAUGGGGGGGUCUCUAUGUUCCUAUAUGGGGGUCUAUGUGUUCUAUGGGGGGUCCUAUGUGUUCUAUUGGGGGGGUCUCUUCAUGGGGGGGUCUCUAUGUUUCCUAUGGGGUCUAUGAUGUUCUAUGGGCCGGUCGCGGGUCUCUCAUAUGUGGGGUCUCUAUGUUCCUAUGGGGGUCUAUGUGUUCUAUGGGGGGGUCUCUUAUAUGGGGGGGUCUCUAUGUUCCUAUGGGGGUCUAUGUGUUCUAUGGGGGGGUCUCUAUGUUCCUAUGGGGCGUCUAUGUGUUCUAUUGGGGGGUCGGUCUUACAUGGGGGGUCUCUAUGUUUCCUAUGGGGUCUACGUGUUCUAUGGCGGGGGUCUCUAUUGUUUCUAUGGGGGUCUAUGUGUUCUAUGGGGGGGUCUGUUAUAUGGGGUGGGGUCUCUAUGUUCCUAUGGGGUCUGGUGUAUCUACUGGGGCGGGGUCCUAUGUGUUCUACGGGGGGUCUUUAUAUGGGGGGGGUCUAUGUGUUUCUAUGGGGUCCUAUGCAUUUCUAUGGGCGGGUCUCUAUGUUCCUAUGGGGGUCUAUGAUGUUUUAAUGGGGGUC